rnacentral:rRNA from 1 species
ACUCCUACGGGAGGCAGCAGUGGGGAAGUCUUGCGCAAUGGGCGAAAGCCUGACGCAGCCAUGCCGCGUGAAUGAUGAAGGUCUUAGGAUUGUAAAAUUCUUUCACCGGGGACGAUAAUGACGGUACCCGGAGAAGAAGCCCCGGCCUAACUUCGUGCCAGCAGCCGCGGUAAUACGAAGGGGGCUAGCGUUGCUCGGAAUUACUGGGGCGUAAAGGGAGCGUAGGCGGACUGUUUAGUCAGAGGUGAAAGCCCAGGGCUCAACCUUGGAAUUGCCUUUGAUACUGGCAGUCUUGAGUACGGAAGAGGUAUGUGGAACUCCGAGUGUAGAGGUGAAAUUCGUAGAUAUUCGGAAGAACACCAGUGGCGAAGGCGACAUACUGGUCCGUUACUGACGCUGAGGCUCGAAAGCGUGGGGAGCAAACAGGAUUAGAUACCCUGGUAGGAUAGCC